rnacentral:rRNA from 1 species
UGAAAGUCCGGGGCUUAACUCCGGAUCUGCGGUGGGUACGGGCAGACUUGAGUGAUGUAGGGGAGACUGGAAUUCCUGGUGUAGCGGUGAAAUGCGCAGAUAUCAGGAGGAACACCGAUGGCGAAGGCAGGUCUCUGGGCAUAAACUGACGCUGAGGAGCGAAAGCAUGGGGAGCGAACAGGAUUAGAUACCCUGGUAGUCCAUGCCGUAAACGUUGGGCACUAGGUGUGGGGGACAUUCCACGUUUUCCGCGCCGUAGCUAACGCAUUAAGUGCCCCGCCUGGGGAGUACGGCCGCAAGGCUAAAACUCAAAGGAAUUGACGGGGGCCCGCACAAGCGGCGGAGCAUGCGGAUUAAUUCGAUGCAACGCGAAGAACCUUACCAAGGCUUGACAUGAACCGGAACGGCGCAGAGAUGUGUCGGCCACUUGUGGCCGGUUUACAGGUGGUGCAUGGUUGUCGUCAGCUCGUGUCGUGAGAUGUUGGGUUAAGUCCCGCAACGAGCGCAACCCUCGUUCCAUGUUGCCAGCGGGUUAUGCCGGGGACUCAUGGGAGACUGCCGGGGUCAACUCGGAGGAAGGUGGGGACGACGUCAAAUCAUCAUGCCCCUUAUGUCUUGGGCUUCACGCAUGCUACAAUGGCCGGUACAAAGGGUUGCGAUGCUGUGAGGUGGAGCUAAUCCCAAAAAGCCGGUCUCAGUUCGGAUUGAGGUCUGCAACUCGACCUCAUGAAGUCGGAGUCGCUAGUAA